rnacentral:rRNA from 1 species
UACGUAGGUGGCAAGCGUUGUCCGGAUUUAUUGGGUUUAAAGGGUGCGUAGGCGGGCAGGUAAGUCAGUGGUGAAAUCUCCGAGCUUAACUCGGAAACUGCCGUUGAUACUAUUUGUCUUGAAUACUGUGGAGGUAAGCGGAAUAUGUCAUGUAGCGGUGAAAUGCUUAGAUAUGACAUAGAACACCAAUUGCGAAGGCAGCUUACUACACAGCGAUUGACGCUGAGGCACGAAAGCGUGGGGAUCAAACAGG